rnacentral:lncRNA from 1 species
CUUUCCCCAGCUUCAUGGAGAAGAAGCAUGGUGUUGAAGCAAGAAAAGCUGGGCAAGGAGCCUGUGCAAAAUCAAGGCUGUACCACUUCUCAAAGGAACCCAUAAAUGAUUUAGGCCACUGUUCACGAAUGAAAAUGCCUGUGGGGUCCAAGACGUACUGUACAUAUUCCCAUCACUCCAUUUACCGCCCUGCUUGUAUCUGCUGACUUCACUGAACUAUGAGCACCUAGAUGGUAAAACAUAUUCACAUGAAAUUAAGAGACGGAGUAUUUCAUUGAGAUUAAAAGAAAGCCAUUAAAAGGAAUGAUAAAUUGUGAAAACCGGGUGUGACUGCCUAGCCAGACAUGUACUUCCAAGAUCAGAGACUACGUGCUUCAGUUCAUAAACACAGAGGAAAACCGGCUGGCCUAAUUUAAUGGUGCCCUGGGUGAAGUUUUCAGGGCUUUGCAGGAAAUCUCAGAGGCUCAUUGAUACAAAGAAGUCAGCAAGAAUCAUGACCGAUACUGAGUUUAAUGUGAGAGUUAGGGCACAAAAUGAAAACCAAAAUGGAGGUUUUUGGUUCAAAGAAGAAUUACGAAGAUAUAAAGAAAAUUCUCAUAAUUUAAAGAUUACUAUAAAACAUAAACGUCAAACUUUGUGUGGAAGAGUAAAACUUAUUCCUGUCCUGGGAAAUGAAGUAAAAUGGAAUCCAGGAGUAAUUCUGACUAAAAGUCUGAGUUUACGAACUUCCAGUGCUGCAAAACUGACAAUCUAUCACCCAUGGAAAAUGUGGCUCCUUUUGUUGUCUGAGCUAACAUCUGCAUCAGUCUUCCUCCAUUUUAUAUGUGGGACACUACUACAGCAUGGCUGAUGAGUGAUGUAUGUCCUUGCCUGUGAUAUGAACCCAUGAACCCAGGCCAGCAAAGAGGAGUGCACCAAACUCAAUGACUACACCAUGGGGCCAGCCCCUCAAAUAAAGUGUUUUUAUGAAAAAAUAUUUUACAUGGUCAAAUUUGUUUUUUACUUAAUAUUUCAAAUAAAGUGCUUUUAUCAAAUAUUA